CUGACUGUUCUGAACUCCAGUUCCGGGUGAGUCUCUGGGGACCCAGACUCAUACGGGGAGAAACUGGACUGUCUGGCAGCUGGCAGA
rfam:Myotis brandtii contig285492, whole genome shotgun sequence.